UACGUAGGGUGCAAGCGUUGUCCGGAAUUAUUGGGCGUAAAGAGCUCGUAGGCGGUCUGUCGCGUCUGCUGUGAAAACUCGGGGCUUAACCCCGGGCCUGCAGUGGGUACGGGCAUCACUGGAGUUCGGCAGGGGAGACUGGAAUUCCUGGUGUAGCGGUGAAAUGCGCAGAUAUCAGGAGGAACACCGGUGGCGAAGGCGGGGUCUCUGGGCCGAUACUGACGUGAGGAGCGAAAGCGUGGGGAGCGAACAGGAUAGAAACCC
rnacentral:rRNA from 1 species